CCAACUUUCAGGUAUCAGCAACUGGCCCUAAUUUGGACUUAUCCAAGCUUAAACAUAGAUAUGUCAAUCAAAAUAAUUAAGCCUCAGCGGACACACCACUGGAUUGGACUAUUGACAGAUGAGGAAACAUGGUGAAACAGAUAAGAGGCCACAGAAGCAUACCUGAAAGCUGGAGCACAGGAAUUUUAAGAUAAGUUGCCACAUGGAGGAUCAGACAAGAUCUUGAUCUAGACAAGAAUUGAUGGACAGACAAAGUCACAACAUUUUAAACAAGUAGAAACUGAAAUGUUAAGAAAAAUAUUGUGGUUGAACACAGGCUGAAUAGGAGUAGGAACCACGAUAAACACAAACUAGAAGGUUUAAUAUCAGAGCAAAGGGGGCAAGUCUAGAAAGAGAUUGUAGGGUAAGAAAGAGAUGCAGGCAUUUUAUUGAAUACAUAUAUGUACUGUAUGCAGAUGCAUACUAUUAGAUUAAUUAUAUUUUUCCAGUAUUUUGUACUAAGUACACAUUUUCUGUUAUCUAAAUUAGAGCAAAUCAGAAACUUUAUUUUCAUUUAUUAUGUUUGCAACUGGUGGAAAUGGAAAACAGCACAUAAGGUCUUAGUCAAUGCUCUCAAUUGGCAUAGAAUAUGCUUGAUAUUGUUUAUGCCCUUUGAAAGUGAUCUCAUGAAUAAUGCAUUAUUUUUCUGAUAAAGACAUAUCAUUCUACAUAGGUAUUCUUAUUGCAUUGUAAACCAAAUAAAUUAUAACUACGCUUGUAAUG